rnacentral:rRNA from 1 species
GACGAACGCUGGCGGCGUGCCUAAUACAUGCAAGUCGAGCGCAGAGGGGUGGUACUUGUACCAACUGGGUGAGCAGCGAACGGGUGAGUAACGCGUGGGGAAUCUGCCUUUGAGCGGGGGACAACAUUGGGAAACGAAUGCUAAUACCGCAUAAAAUCUUUAAACACAAGGUUUAAGUGUGAAAGAUGGAAUUGCAGCACUCAAAGAUGAUCUCGCGGUGGAUUAGCUAGGUGGGGAGGUAAAGGCUCACCCAGGGGAUGAUAGAUAGACGGCCUGAGAGGGUGGUUCGCCACCUUGGGACUGGGACCCGGCCCAAGCCCCCACGGGAAGCAGCAGUAGGGAAUCUUCGGCAAAUGGCGAAAGUCUUGCCGGGCAACGCCGCGUGAGGGAAGAAGGGUUUCGGGUCGGAAAUCUCUGUUUGUAGGGAAGAACGUUGGUGAGAGUGGAAAGCGCAUCAAGUGACGGUAACUACCCAGAAAGCCACGGCUAACUACGUG